GAGAGAGAGAGAGAGAGGAGAGAGUGGGAGAGAGAAAAAGAGGGAGAUAAGAAGAAGAGCGCAAACUCGGUCGGUAGAUCGAGAAAAGCGAAUCUAGGGUACUCGGAGUAAACGCAAAAUUAGGUCCUAGACCGUCCCUACGAAGUAGGUCACAACGGCACAGGCGCACGGAGUAGCACAUACAUGAAGAGUGGAUAGUGCGUGUCAAAGCACCUACUAUAUCCCGUCGAAUUAGCAUGGAAACAAGAAGAAAGCUCGCAAGAAAUUUUCUCACAAUCGUCUCUCGACGUAUCAUCAACAACGUCCGCCGUUGUAAACCGUUGUCCCGAUGAAGUUUCCAACGAAAAGUACAAUUCUAAUAUAUCGCAGAAUUUCAAUUCGCGAUAAGGAUAUGUAUAAUAAUAUUAAGGAUCCAACGCGAAGUAGAAAGGAAUAAAAGGAAUUGCGUGUGACCAGGAUUUGAAACUGACAAGCGAAAACAAACGGAAGGAAUGUUUGCGAACGUUUACAUCGAAACAAUGUAAAGUAAUUUUCAAAAUCAAUAUGGUCGUACAGAACAAUCGAGAACAGAUGGCCGAAUUGAAGUGUGAAUCAAACUCUAAAAUUCUCCUUCGUUCGGGUAUCCGAGAUGUGUUUCGAUCGAUAUUAUUUUAUAAAAUAAAAUUUAAAAAAAGAAAGAAAGAAAAAGAAAAAAAUCGAUAUAAAAGCGUAUAAAAGAAGAAAGUUGGAAUUUUAUCGUAACACUUUUCUAUCAUACUCAGACUGAUGACGGACACGAAAGUUGAAGAA